AUUGAACGCUGGCGGCAGGCUUAACACAUGCAAGUCGAGCGGGGGAAGGUAGCUUGCUACCGGACCCAGCGGCGGACGGGUGAGUAAUGCUUAGGAAUCUGCCUAUUAGUGGGGGACAACAUCUCGAAAGGGAUGCUAAUACCGCAUACGUCCUACGGGAGAAAGCAGGGGAUCUUCGGACCUUGCGCUAAUAGAUGAGCCUAAGUCGGAUUAGCUAGUUGGUGGGGUAAAGGCCUACCAAGGCGACGAUCUGUAGCGGGUCUGAGAGGAUGAUCCGACACACUGGGACUGAGACACGGCCCAGACUCCUACGGGAGGCAGCAGUGGGGAAUAUUGGACAAUGGGGGGAACCCUGAUCCAGCCAUGCCGCGUGUGUGAAGAAGGCCUUAUGGUUGUAAAGCACUUUAAGCGAGGAGGAGGCUACUUUAGUUAAUACCUAGAGAUAGUGGACGUUACUCGCAGAAUAAGCACCGGCUAACUCUGUGCCAGCCGCCGCUGUAA
rnacentral:rRNA from 1 species